UACGUAGGGGGCAAGCGUUGUCCGGAUUUAUUGGGCGUAAAGAGCGUGUAGGCGGUUUGGUAGGUCCGCUGUGAAAACUCGAGGCUCAACCUCGAGACGCCGGUGGAAACCAUCAGACUAGAGUCCGGAAGAGGAGAGUGGAAUUCCUGGUGUAGCGGUGGAAUGCGCAGAUAUCAGGAGGAACACCAAUGGCGAAGGCAGAUCUCUGGGCCGUAACUGACGCUGAGGAGCGAAAGCAUGGGGAGCGAACAGG
rnacentral:rRNA from 1 species